GACGACCGGCGCACGGGUGCGUAACGCGUAUGGAACUUGCCCUUUACAGGGGGAUAGCCCGGAGAAAUUCGGAUUAAUACCCCAUAGUAUGGAGGAGUGGCAUCACUUUUUCAUUAAAGAUUUAUCGGUAAAGGAUAGUCAUGCGUCAGAUUAGCUAGUUGGCGGGGUAAUGGCCCACCAAGGCUACGAUCUGUAGGGGUUCUGAGAGGAUGAUCCCCCACACUGGUACUGAGAUACGGACCAGACUCCUACGGGAGGCAGCAGUAGGGAAUAUUGGUCAAUGGGCGCGAGCCUGAACCAGCCAUGCCGCGUGCAGGAAGAAGGCCCUCUGGGUUGUAAACUGCUUUUGACAGGGGCCAAAAUAGCUAUGCGUAGCGAAUUGAGCGUACCUGUAGAAUAAGCACCGGCUAACUCCGUGCCAGCAGCCGCGGUAAUACGGAGGGUGCAAGCGUUGUCCGGAUUUAUUGGGUUUAAAGGGUGCGUAGGUGGCUUUAUAAGUCAGCGGUGAAAGACGGCAGCUCAACUGUCGCAGUGCCGUUG
rnacentral:rRNA from 1 species